rnacentral:rRNA from 1 species
AAACGCUGGCGGCGUGCCUAACACAUGCAAGUCGAACGAGAAAGCCUUAAUCUUCGGAUGGGCGAGUAAAGUGGCGUACGGGUGAGUAACGCGUAGGUAACCUACCCCCGGGACUGGGAUAACAGUGCGAAAGUGCUGCUAAUACCGGAUACGAUGGCAGAGCGGGAGCUUUGCGAUGAAAGUCAGCCUCUCCAUGGAAGCUGGCGUUCGGGGAUGGGCCUGCGUCCUAUCAGCUAGUUGGCAGGGUAACGGCCUACCAAGGCGACGACGGGUAGCUGGUCUGAGAGGAUGAUCAGCCACACUGGCACUGGAACACGGGCCAGACUCCUACGGGAGGCAGCAGUGAGGAAUUUUGCGCAAUGGCCGCAAGGCUGACGCAGCAACGCCGCGUGGGUGAAGAAGGCCUUCGGGUCGUAAAGCCCUGUCAGGUGGGAAGAACACCAUGGGGAUGAAUAAGCUUCAUGGCUGACGGUACCACCAGAGGAAGCACCGGCUAACUCCGUGCCAGCAGCCGCGGUAAUACGGAGGGUGCGAGCGUUAUUCGGAAUUACUGGGCGUAAAGCGCGUGCAGGCGGUUUGGCAAGUCUGAUGUGAAAGCCCCGGGCUUAACCCGGGGAGUGCAUUGGAAACUGCCGGACUUGAGUACUGGAGAGGAAGGGGGAAUUCCCGGUGUAGAGGUGAAAUUCGUAGAGAUCGGGAGGAAUACCAGUGGCGAAGGCGCCCUUCUGGACGGUUACUGACGCUGAGACGCGAAAGCGUGGGGAGCAAACAGGAUUAGAUACCCUGGUAGUCCACGCUGUAAACGGUGAGCACUAGGUGUAGCGGGUACUCAUUCCUGCUGUGCCGCAGCUAACGCGUUAAGUGCUCCGCCUGG